AUUCCAGCUCCAAUAGCGUAUAUUAAAGUUGUUGCAGUUAAAAAGCUCGUAGUUGAACCUUGGACAAAGUGCGCGUGGUCUACCGCAAGGUACGACUGCGGCGCUGCGUCUCUUUAGGGGGACUCGAUGCUUCGGUGUCGAGGUAACCCGUGUUACUGUGAAGAAAUUAGAGUGUUUAAAGCAGGCUAUCGCUUGAAUACAUCAGCAUGGAAUAACAAGUUGGACUUUGCUCCUACUUGUUGGUUUGAGGGGAAAAGUAAUGAUUAAUAGGGCCAGUUGGGGGCAUUAGUAUUCAGUAGUCAGAGGUGAAAUUCUUGGAUUUACUGAAGACUAACUAGUGCGAAAGCAUUUGCCAAGGAUGUUUUCAUUA
rnacentral:rRNA from 1 species